AGAGUAAGUCAGCCUAAUCUAGCGAUUGACAACGCUAACGCUGGAGCGGAGGAACCACAUUUUGGGGCGUAUCUCAUACGAGAAGGGCAUCUCUCAGCCCUAGCCCGUCAGCUAACUUCGUAGGCAUUGAGAGGAGACUGA
rfam:Fischerella sp. JSC-11 ctg116, whole genome shotgun sequence.